CUGGUAAAGCAGUAGAAGAUGUUGCAAGGCAAAGUUGUGAUUCUGUGGUUACUGCAGAGAGAGAAUCUUCUAGUAAUAAUGAAGAGUUGAUGGUGUCAUUUGAUGGCGGCUCGCAGAAGAGGGGAUCAGGGCGUUCUUUUUCAAGUUUAUCUGGACAUGCAGCAAUGAUAGGCAGAGAAACUGACAGAAUUGUACAUUUUGCAACACGCAACGGAUACUGCAGAAUAUGUCAUAGUGCAGAGAAAACGGGGAAGACUCCAUCAACUCAUGAAUGCCGUAAA